UCCAAACCCCCCCUCUCUCUCUCUCUCUCCACUUCCAAAACCGCCCAGCUCUUCACAGGCGGCGCCUUGCAGCGAGAUGGAUCUGACGCAGGUGCUGCCGGAGGAAAUACUCGCCGACGUGCUCCACCGCGUCGCGCCGCGCGGCCUUGCCGUGUGCCGCUGCGCCUGCAAGGCCCUGCUCGCCGUCAUCGACGCCCGCCGCCUGCUGCGCGCGGACGUCCUCCCGCUCUCCGUCGGCGGCGUAUUCAUCAAUUUCUACUGCGAACGUGUGUCGGAGUUCUUCGCCAGUCCCUCCACCGGCCCCACCAUCUCCGGCAGGUUCGACUUCCACCCAUACUGGAUUAUGAUCGCCCUGUUCUUGGCCCAUGGGUCUUACAAGAUAUUAACUAUAAUGGGUAUCUCAAAGAGAGAAAGGAUCUCAUUGAAGGUGGCGAAGAUACAGAAUACAUGGAAUACCUAAAAGAAAACAAAUUAGAGUUAAACUCCGGCAAGGAACAGCUAGUGGAAGAAAAGUUUGAAUGGGACUCCGAAAAUGACAACAUACUUCAUAAGGAAGAUGUGGUUGAUGCUCGUGGCAAUGGAUACUUUGAUAUCCUUGGAUUCCAUCCAUAUAAAGAAAUUGCCUUUCUGGGUGUAUCAAUGUACAGAGGAAUUGCCUAUCAUUUGAAAGAUUCGAAGGUUCAGGACCUUGGCUACUUAUACCCAACAACUUGUCAUUUGGCAUUGCAGAACGAGUGUUUCAUAACCGUGUCAUUCCCAUAUACACCUUGUUUGACAGGGUACCGGUAAGCAAUUAACAAGAAUGUACAAGGGCAUCUUAGAGACUGGUAUGCUGGUUGGAACCCAAUUGUACAAGAAUGUACAAUGGCCCAAUCAUGUUUAAGGCCUUGUUCAUUUUUAUUUAGCACUGGAUUUAUACUUAUCCAAUGAAAUGUCCAUAUUUUCCAUGUCGGUUCUAAGAACAUGUGACGUAACAGUGUAUCAUCAGAAAAUGGAAAGUAUAUCAAAUAUACUUCAUUGCUUUGUUCAACAACGCCAAUGUGUUUCUUUCUUAUGUAUCAUCUAUAUCAGAAACCAAUAUUUCCCUCAGCGGUAUCAUUUUCCCCUAUUAGUUUUGUUGUUGUUUUCCGGGUCCAGUUGGUGGUUAGUCUCAUCCUUGUCUGUUGUCUGAAUUAUUGUCCUGCUUAUACUGUGGUACUCUUGUAUGCCUAACCUACUCCAGGAAAAGGUUUACGGAUUGCAGUGGAAAUAACAUCCACUCUUAUGCUGAGUAUAACUGAGUUUUUUUAUAAAGGACAUUUCAUUGAAUUAAUUUAUCAAGGUGAUACAACCGCAUCUAAAGCAUGCCCGACCUCUGCAUAACAUGAUGCACACAACCAACAAGUCCAAACGACCAAAAAAUAAACAUAGUUUUGCAGCAAAAAUAAAUCAAUCCAGCCUAGGAUGGGGCAGAUCCUAUACGGAGAUUACACCGCCAUCCAUGGAGGGAGAAAACCUCCAUAGCCGUACUCUCCAGCCGUGUCGACGCCAUCAUAAAAAGGUCUCUGUCUUCCGACUUCUGCAGGAUAGACCAAGUACAGAGCCAUCACGUACAUGCAUGAAUAACCUGCACAGGAGAAGAACCACAUUUAUUAUUAAAACCCACAUCAUUCCUAGAAAGCCACAAUGCCCAGCAUAAGGCAGCCGCCCAAACAAGAAUAUGUGUAGAAAAUUGUUUAUCAAUACCCCGCCGCAACCAAUUGCUGAACAUGUUACACACACUACAUGGGGGGGGGGGUAUAGAUUUGAAACUACUUGAACUAUGGCCCAUACUGCACGAGCAAACUUACACUAAAAAAUUAGUGUUUAAUAGACUCGUCAUGUUGGCAAAAGACACAUGUCUUGCUACCUUGCAAGUUACGUCGUGCCAGAUUAUCUCUAGUUAAGAUGACCCCUCUGCUUAAAAACCAGAGGAAUAUCUUCACACUUGGAGGAAUUUUUAGCUUCCACAAUUUUUUGUUAUCAACGGGAAUAUCAAUAUGAGUUAUCGCAUCGUACUAGGACUUGACUGAGAAACUGCCGUUUUAAUGCAGUUUCCAUCGAAACUUGUCCGGUUCUCUUGUCAGUUGAAUCCUCCAGACGAGUGAGUAACUCAUUCCAUGCUGCCAGACGAGGGCCAAAGAGGUCCCUACAAAAAGAAAUAUCGGGGUUUUCUUGUCCCAAAACUUGUUUGAUCCUUACAAGUUUAUGUCUGACAACCCUAUACAAGCUAGGGUGAUGUACCAUAAGUGGGGUCGCACCUAGCCAGGUAUCUUCCCAGAAUCGAACCUGAGAACCAUCCUAACUAACAAAGUACCAAGCUGAAAAAAUAAUUCCUUGGCCUUCAUGACACCAUACCAAAAAUGGGAAUCAUCGGGUUUCCAAUGAACUUGAAAAAUGGCUUUGGACCCCACGUAUUUGUUACGAAUAAUUUCCUGCCAUACUCCAUUCUCGGUGAUUAAUUUGUAAACCCAUUUACUCAGAAGAGCUUUGUUUUUAAUCUCAAGGUCUUGAAUUCCAAGGCCCCAUUGACUUUUAGGUCGGUAUAAUAUAGUCCACCUAGCCAGUCGGUAUUUCUUAGAUUCAUUAUCACAUUGCCAAAAAAAUCUGGAUCAAAAGUAAUCCAAACACUGAAGAACCCCUUUUGGUUAGUGGAAGAAUGACAACACGUAUAGAACCAUAUUGCUGAGGACAGAAUUGAUCAAUAUCAAUCUCCCCCCAUAUGACAAGAGUCUGGCUUUCCAACUGGCUAGCCGUUUCUCAAGUCUCUCUUCCACAUGUUUCCACUCAGCGAUAGUUAAGCGCCGAUAGUGAAUCGGAAUACUAGAUACCUAAUCGGGAACUGCCAAUGCUGGCAGCCAAAAAUGUCAGCUUACUCAGCUGCGAACUCUGCAGCGUCGUCGAAGCAGAAAAGCUCUCUCUUAUGAAAAUUAAUUUUGAGAACAGAGAGCUCCUCAAAUGCGCAUAAAAACAGCUUGAGGUUUCUUGCUUUAUCUAGAUCAUUAUCCAUAAAAAGAAUAGUGUCAUCCGCGUAUUGUACAAUAGACAUACCUUCUUCUACUAAAUGUGGAAUAACACCACUAAUUUGGUCAGCCACCUUAGCCCUCUGAACAAGGAUAGCUUUACUCGAAGUGAUGGGCGCUCCCAGUAUCGCGGUAAAGUAGAGGAUCACUGCAAUGGCCUUGCCUUACUCGAAGAUUAUUUGGAGAAUUAUUAUGUGGUUAACCCGGCAACGAGGUAGUGGGAUUCUUUGCCGCCGCACCGAUCCAGGUCGAAGUCCAAGGUUAGGGAUGCCGACUUCAGAUACCAAGAGUACCUCGUGUUUGAUCCCACGAUAUCACCCCACUAUGGCACUAUCAGGUGUUUGUGAUCCCAAAAUCUAGGCACAAAACGGAGCCUGGAGAUUUUGGUUAUGGCAGAACGUUGGAUGAAUUAGACCCUGUUAUGGAGAAAUCUGAAUGGCUGCCAUCUGUGUGCGCUUUGCACGUUUUCUCCUCGAGGUCGGGCCGUUGGGAGGAGAGGUCUUUUAUUCGAGAUGGGGAGGCUGCAGGCACCAUUGCUGAUAUGCGGCAGCAUUCGGAGUGGUAUUAUGACAAGCAUUAUGUUGUACUGCCGGGGUGCACUUUAUGUGCACUGCAAAACUGAUUUCGUAAUGAGGUACCUAUAAUCACUUACACAACAUUUUUUUAUAUUAGUUCAUCAAUGAUAAUAUUUACCACUUAUAUGAUUUAUUAACAAUUUGUUGUGCAGGAUCUCUUUGUCAAAUGACAAGUACCAAGUAAUUAAACCACCGAUACAUGGUGAACUGGGCGAGCAGUACUACAGAAAACCUUAUACACAGAACUUUAGCAGUAGCGCGUUGCUACCUCUUAAGCACUGCGAUGGUUUUCCCUUGAAAAGGAAAGGGUGAUGCAGUAGAGUAGCGUAAGUAUUUGCCUCAGUUUUUGAGAACCAAGGUAUCAAUCCAGUAGGAGGCCACGCACGAGUCCCUCGCACCUACACAAACAAAUAAAUCCUCGCAACCAAUGCGAUAAGGGGUUGUCAAUCCCUACACGGUCACUUACGAGAGUGAGAUCUGAUAGAUAUGAUAAGAAAAUAUUUUUGGAAUUUUUAUGAUAAAGAUGCAAAGUAAAAUAGAAGGCAACAAAAAUAACUAAGUGUUGGAAGAUUAAUAUGAUGGAAAAUAGACCGCGGGGCCAUAGGUUUCACUAGUGGCUUCUCUCAAGAGCAUAAGUAUUACGGUGGGUGCAAAUUACUGUUGAGCAAUUGACAGAAUUGAGCAAAGUUAUGAGAAUAUCUAGGUAUGAUCAUGUAUAUAGGCAUCACGUCUGAGACAAGUAGACCGACUCCUACCUGCAUCUACUACUAUUACUCCACACAUCGACCGCUAUCCAUCAUGCAUCUAGAGUAUUAAGUUCAUAAGAACAGAGUAACGCUUUAAGCAAGAUGACAUGAUGUAGAGGGAUAAACUCAUGCAAUAUGAUAUAAACCCCAUCUUGCUGUCCUCGAUGGCAACAAUACUAUACGUGCCUUGCUGCCCCUAUUGUCACUUGGAAAGGACACCUCAAGAUUGCCUCCGGUGGUGUACCGGGAUAUGCAAUGAAUCAAGAGUGACAUGUAUGAAAAAUUAUGAACGAUAUCUUUUGUGGGGAACGUUGCAGAAAACAAAAAAUUUCCUACGGUUUCACCAAGAUCCAUCUAGGAGUUCAUCUAGCAACGAGUGAUCGGAUUGCAUCUACAUACCUUUGUAGAUCACGCGCGGAAGCGUUCAAAGAACGGGGAUAAGGAAGGCGUACUCGACGUGAUCCAAAUCACCGGAGAUCCUAGCGCCGAACGGACGGCACCUCCGCGUUCAACACACGUACGGUCAGCGUAACAUCUCCUUCUUCUUGAUCCAGCAAGGGGGAAGGAGAGGUUGAGGAAGAUGGCUCCAGCAGCAGCACGACGGCGUGGUGGUGAUGGAGCUGCAGUACUCCGGUAGGGCUUCGCUAAGCACUAUGGAGGAGGAGGAUGUGUUGGAGAGGGAGAGGGAGGCACCAAAGGCGUGGGGUGUGAAGUCCUCCAUCUCCCCACUAUAUAUAGGAGGGCCAAGGCGGGGCGCCGGCCCUAGGAGAUCCAAUCUCCUGGGGGGUGCGGCCAAGGGGAGGAAUCCCUCCUCCCCAAGGCACCUAGGAGGUGCCUUCCCCCUUUGGGACUCUUCCCUUCUUGAACCCUAGGCACAUGGGCCUCUUGGGGCUGGUGCCCUUGGACCAUAUAGGCCAAGGCGCACCCCCUACAGCCCAUGUGGCCCCCCGGGGCAGGUGGCCCCACCCGGUGGACCCCCGGGACCCUUCCGGUGGUCCUGGUACAAUACCGGUGACCCCGAAACUUGUCCCGAUGCCCGAAAUAGUACUUCCUAUAUAUAAUUCUUUACCUCCGGACCAUUCCGGAACUCCUCGUGACGUCCAGGAUCUCAUCUGGGACUCUGAACAACAUUCGGGUUACUGCAUAUACAUAUCCCUACAACCCUAGCGUCACCGAACCUUAAGUGUGUAGACCCUACGGGUUCGGGAGACAUGUAGACAUGACCGAGAUCGCUCUCCGGUCAAUAACCAACAACGGGAUCUGGAUACCCAUGUUGGCUCCCACGUGCUCCUCGAUGAUCUCAUCGGAUGAACCACGAUGUCGAGGAUUCAAUCAAUCCCGUAUACAAUUCCCUUUGUAAAUCGGUAUCCUACUUGCCCGAGAUUCGAUCGUCGGUAUCCCAAUACCUCGUUCAAUCUCGUUACCGGCAAGUCACUUUACUCGUACCGUAAUGCAUGAUCCCGUGACCAGACACUUGGUAACUUUGAGCUCAUUAUGAUGAUGCAUUACUGAGUGGGCGCAGUGAUACCUCUCCGUCAUACGGAGUGACAAAUCCCAGUCUUGAUCCGUGUCAACCCAACAGACACUUUCGGAGAUACACGUAGUAUACCUUUAUAGUCACCCAGUUACGUUGUGACGUUUGGUACACCCAAAGCACUCCUACGGUAUCCGGGAGUUACACGAUCUCAUGGUCUAAGGAAAGGAUACUUGACAUUGGAAAACUCUAGCAAACAAACUAUACGAUCUUAUGCUAUGUUUAGGAUUGGGUCUUGUCCAUCACAUCAUUCUCCUAAUGAUGUGAUCUCGUUAUCAAUGACAUCCAAUGUCCAUAGUCAGGAAACCAUGACUAUCUGUUGAUCAACGAGCUAGUCAACUAGAGGCUUACUAGGGACAUGUUGGUGUUUAUUAUUCACACAUGUAUUACGAUUUCCGGAUAACACAAUUAUAGCAUGAAUAAAGACAAUUAUCAUGAACAAGGAAAUAUAAUAAUAAUGCUUUUAUUAUUGCCUCUAGGGCAUAUUUCCAACAGUCUCCCACUUGCACUAGAGUCAAUAAUCUGGUUACAUGUGAUGAAUCGAACACCCAUGGAAUUCUGGUGUUGAUCAUGUUUUGCUCUAGGGAGAGGUUAAUCAACGGAUCUGCUAUAUUCAGGUCCGUAUGUACUUUACAAAUAUCUAUGUCUCCAUCUUGAACAUUUUCACGAAUGGAGUUGAAGCGAGGCUUGAUAUGCCUCGUCUUCUUGUGAAACCUGGGCUCCUUGGUAAGUGCAAUAGCUCCAGUGUUGUCACAGAAGAGUUUGAUUGGCCCCGACGCAUUGGGUAUGACUCCUAGGUCGGUGAUGAACUCCUUCACCCAAAUUGCUUCAUGUGCUGCCUCCGAGGCUGCCAUGUACUCCGCUUCACAUGUAGAUCCCGCCACGACGCUCUUCUUGCAACUGCACCAGCUUACUGCCCCACCAUUCAAAAUAUACACGUAUCCGGUUUGUGACUUAGAGUCAUCCAGAUCUGUGUCGAAGCUAGCGUCGACGUAACCCUUUACGACGAGCUCUUCGUCACCUCCAUAGACGAGAAACAUUUCCUUACUCCUUUUCAGGUACUUCAGGAUAUUCUUGACCGCUGUCCAGUGUUCCUUGCCGGGAUUACUUUGGUACCUUCCUACCAAACUUACGACAAGGUUUACAUCAGGUCUGGUACACAGCAUGGCAUACAUAAUAGAACCUAUGGCUGAGGCAUAGGGGAUGACACUCAUCUCUUCUAUAUCUUCUGCCGUGGUCGGACAUUGAGCUGAGCUCAAUUUCACACCUUGCAACACAGGCAAGAACCCCUUCUUAGACUGAUCCAUAUUGAACUUCUUCAAUAACUUAUCAAGGUAUGUGCUUUGUGAAAGACCUAUGAGGCGUCUUGAUCUAUCUCUGUAGAUCUUGAUGCCUAAUAUAUAAGCAGCUUCUCCAAGGUCCUUCAUUGAAAAACUCUUAUUCAAGUAGGCCUUUAUGCUGUCCAAGAGUUCUAUAUCAUUUCCCAUCAAAAGUAUGUCAUCUACAUAUAAUAUGAGAAAUGCUACAGAGCUCCCACUCACUUUCUUGUAAACGCAGGAUUCUCCAUAAGUCUGUGUAAACCCAAACGCUUUGAUCAUCUCAUCAAAGCAAAUGUUCCAACUCCGAGAUGCUUGCCCCAGCCCAUAAAUCGAGCGUUGGAGCUUGCACACCUUGUUAGCAUUCUUAGGAUCGACAAAACCUUCCGGCUGCAUCAUAUACAAUUCUUCCUUAAGGAAACCAUUAAGGAAUGCCGUUUUGACGUCCAUUUGCCAUAUCUCAUAAUCAUAGAAUGCGGCAAUUGCUAACAUGAUUUGGACGGACUUUAGCUUCGCUACCGGUGAGAAAGUCUCAUCGUAGUCAACCCCUUGAACUUGUCGAUAACCCUUAGCGACAAGCCGAGCUUUAUAGAUGGUCACAUUACCAUCCGCGUCUGUCUUCUUCUUAAAGAUCCAUUUAUUUUCUAUGGCUCGCCGCUCAACAGGCAAGUCAAUCAAAGUCCAUACUUCGUUUUCAUACAUGGAUUCUAUCUCGAAUUUCAUGGCUUCCAGCCAUCUGUCGGAAUCCGGGCCCGCCAUCGCUUCUUCAUAGUUCGAAGGUUCACUGUUGUCCAACAACAUGAUUUCCAAGACAGGGUUGCCGUACCACUCUGGUGCGGAACGUCUCCUUGUGGACCUUCGAAUUUUAGUAGGAGCUUGAUCAGAAGUAUCUUGAUCAUUAUCAUUAACUUCCUCUCUAGUCGGUGCAGGCACCUCGGGAACAUUUUCUUGAGUUGCGCCAUUUUCUGGUUCAAGAGGUAAUACUUCAUCAAGGUCUACUUUCCUCCCACUUACUUCUUUCGAGAGAAACUCCUUCUCUAGAAAGGAUCCAUUCUUGGCAACAAAGAUCUUGCCUUCGGAUCUGAGGUAGAAGGUAUACCCAAUAGUUUCUUUAGGGUAUCCUAUGAAGACGCAUUUUUCCGACUUGGGUUCGAGAUUUUCAGGUUGAAGUUUCUUGACAUAAGCAUCGCAUCCCCAAACUUUUAGAAACGACAGCUUAGGUUUCUUCCCAAACCAUAAUUCAUACGGUGUCGUCUCAACGGAUUUCGACGGAGCCCUAUUUAAAGUGAAUGCGGCAGUCUCUAAAGCAUAGCCCCAAAAAGAUAGCGGUAAAUCGGCAAGAAACAUCAUCGAUCGCACCAUAUCUAAUAGAGUGCGAUUACGACGUUCGGACACAUCAUUACUCUGAGGUGUUCCAGGCGGCGUGAGUUGUGAAACUAUUCCACAUUUUCUUAAGUGCGUGCCAAACUCGUGACUCAAGUAUUCUCCUCCGCGAUCUGAUCGCAGGAACUUGAUUUUCCUGUCACGUUGAUUCUCAACCUCACUCUGAAAUUACUUGAACUUUUCAAAGGUUUCAGACUUGCGUUUCAUUAAGUAGACAUACCCAUAUCUACUCAAGUCAUCAGUGAGGGUGAGAACAUAACGAUAGCAACCGCGAGCCUCAACACUCAUUGGACCGCACACAUCAGUAUGUAUGAUUUCCAAUAAGUUGGUUGCUCGCUCCAUUGUUCCUGAGAACGGAGUCUUGGUCAUUUUACCCAUGAGGCAUGGUUCGCACGUGUCAAAUGAUUCGUAAUCAAGAGACUCCAAAAGUCCAUCAGCAUGGAGCUUCUUCAUGCGUUUGACACAUAUGUGACCAAGGCGGCAGUGCCACAAGUAUGUGGGACUAUCAUUAUCAAUCUUACAUCUUUUGGUACUCACACUAUGAACAUGUGUAGCAUUACGCUCGAGAUUCAUUAAGAAUAAACCAUUCACCAUCGAAGCAUGACCAUAAAACAUAUCUCUCAUAUAAAUAGAACAACCAUUAUUCUUGGAUUUAAAUGAGUAGCCAUCUCGAAUUAAACGAGAUCCUGAUACAAUGUUCAUGCUCAAAGCUGGCACUAAAUAACAAUUAUUAAGGUUUAAAACUAAUCCCGAAGGUAAAUGUAGAGGUAGCGUGCCGACGGCCAUCACAUUGACCUUGGAACCAUUCCCGACGCGCAUCAUCACCUCGUCCUUUGCCAGUCUCCGCUUAUUCCGCAGCUCCUAUUUUGAGUUACAAAUGUGAGCAACCGCACCGGUAUCAAAUACCCAGGAGCUACUACGAGUACUGGUAAGGUACACAUCAAUUACAUGUAUAUCACAUAUACGUUUUGUUUUGCUGGCCUUCUUGUCCGCUAAGUAUUUGGGGCAGUUCCGCUUCCAGUGACCACUCUCCUUGCAAUAAAAGCACUCAGUCUCGGGCUUGGGUCCAUUCUUUGUCUUCUUCCCGGCAGCUUGCUUUCCGGGCGCGGCAACUCCCUUGUCGUCCUUCUUGAAGGUUUUCUUACCCUUGCCUUUCUUGAACUUAGUGGUUUUAUUCACCAUCAACACUUGAUGUUCCUUUUUGACUUCUACCUCUGCUGAUUUCAGCAUUGCAAAUACUUCAGGAAUGGUCUUUUCCAUCCCCUGCAUAUUAAAGUUCAUCACAAAGCUCUUGUAGCUUGGUGGAAGCGACUGAAGGAUUCUGUCAAUGACCGCGUCAUUCGGGAGAUUAACUCCCAGCUGAGUCAAGCGGUUAUGCAACCCAGACAUAGUGAGUAUGUGCUCACUGACAGAACUGUUUUCCUCCAUCUUAUAGCUGAAGAACUUGUCGGAGACUUGAUAUCUCUCGACCCGGGCAUGAGCUUGGAAAACCAUUUUCAGCUCUUCGAACAUCUCAUAUGCUCCGUGUCUCUCAAAACGCUUUUGGAGCCCCGGCUCUAAGCUGUAAAGCAUGCCGCACUGAACGAGGGAGUAGUCAUCGGUAUGUGCCUGCCAAGCGUUCAUAACGUCUUGUUCUGCAGGGAGAAUAGGUGCGUCACCUAGCGGUGCUUGUAGGACAUAAUCUUUCUUGUCAGCUAUGAGGAUGAUCCUCAGGUACCGGACCCAGUCCGUGUAGUUGCUGCCAUCGUCUUUCAGCUUGGUUUUCUCUAGGAACACGUUGAAGUUGAGGACUACGUUGGCCAUUUGAUCUACAAGACAUAUUUGUAAAAUUUCAGACUCAGUUCAUGAUAAUUAAGUUCAUCUAAUCAAAUUAUUCAAUGAACUCCCACUUAGAUAAACAUCCCUCCUGUAAUCUAAGUAUAACAUGAUCCGAGUUAACUAGGCCGUGUCCGAUCGUCACGUGAGACGGACUAGUCAACAUCGGUGAACAUCUUCAUGUUGAUCGUAUCUUCUAUAUGACUCAUGCUCGACCUUUCGGUCUUCUGUGUUCCGAGGCCAUGUCUGUACAUGCUAGGCUCGUCAAGUCAACCUAAGUGUUUGCAUGUGUAAAUCUGGCUUACACCCGUUGUAUGUGAACGUUAGAAUCUAACACCCGAUCAUCACGUGGUGCUUCGAAACAACGAACUGUCGCAACGGUGCACAGUUAGGGGGAACACUUUCUUGAAAUUAUUAUGAGGGAUCAUAUUAUUUACUACCGUCGUUCUAAGUAAACAAGAUGCAUAAAUAUGAUGAACAUCACAUGCAAUCAAAUAAUAAUAGUGACAUGAUAUGGCUAAUAUCACAUAGCUCCUUUGAUCUCCAUCUUGGGGCUCCAUGAUCAUCUUGUCACUGGCAUGACACCAUGAUCUCCAUCAUCAUGAUCUCCAUCAUCGUGUCUCCAUGAAGUUGCUCGCCAACUAUUACUUCUACUACUAUGGCUAACGCGUUUAGCAAUAAAGCAAAGUAAUUUACAUGGCGUUUCUCAAUGACACGCAGGUCAUACAAAAAAUAAAGACAACUCCUAUGGCUCCUGCCGGUUGUCAUACUCAUCGACAUGCAAGUCGUGAUUCCUAUUACAAUAGCAUGAACAUCUCAUACAUCACAUAUAUAUCAUUCAUCAUUCAUCACAACUUUGGCCAUAUCAUAUCACAAAGCACUUGCUGCAAAAACAAGUUAGACGUCUUCUAAUUGUUGUUGCAAGUUUUACGUGGCUGAAGUAGGGUUCUAGCAAGAACGUUUUCUUACCUACGUGAAAGACACAACGUGAUUUGUCAACUUCUAUUUACCCUUCAUAAGGACCCUUUUCAUCGAAUCCGCUCCAAUUAAAGUGGGAGAGACAGACACCCGCCAGCCACCUUAUGCAACUAGUGCAUGUUAGUCGGUGGAACCGGUCUCACGUAAGCGUACGUGUAUGGUUGGUCCGGGCCGCUUCAUCCCACAAUACCGUUGAAGCAAGAUAAGACUAGUAGCGGCAAGAAAGUUGACAACAUCAACGCCCACAACAAAUUGUGUUCUACUCGUGCAAGAGAACUACGCAAAGACCUAGCUCAUGAUGCCACUGUUGGGGAACGUUGCAGAAAACAAAAAUUUUCCUACGGUUUCACCAAGAUCCAUCUAGGAGUUCAUCUAGCAACGAGUGAUCGGAUUGCAUCUACAUACCUUUGUAGAACACGCGCGGGAGCGUUCAAAGAACGGGGAUGAGGAAGGCGUACUCGACGUGAUCCAAAUCACCGGAGAUCCUAGCACCGAACGGACGGCACCUCCACGUUCAACACACGUACGGUCAGCGUAACAUCUCCUUCUUCUUGAUCCAGCAAGAGGGAAGGAGAGGUUGAGGAAGAUGGCUCCAGCAGCAGCACGACGGCGUGGUGGUGAUGGAGCUGCAGUACUCCGGCAGGGCUUCGCUAAGCACUAUAGAGGAGGAGGAUGUGUUGGCGAGGGAGAGGGAGGCACCAAAGGCAUGGGGUGUGAAGUCCUCCAUCUCCCCACUAUAUAUAGGAGGGCCAAGGGGGGGGCGCCAGCCCUAGGAGAUCCAAUCUCCUAGGGGGGUGCAGCCAAGGGGAGGAAUCCCUCCUCCCCAAGGCACCUAGGAGGUGCCUUCCCCCUUUGGGACUCUUCCCUUCUUGAACCCUAGGCGCAUGGGCCUCUUGGGGCUGGUGCCCUUGGCCCAUAUAGGCCAAGGCGCACCCCCUACAGCCCAUGUGCCCCCCGGGGCAGGUGGACCCACCCGGUGGACCCCCGGGACCCUUCCGGUGGUCCCGGUACAAUACCGGUGACCCCGAAACUUGUCCCGAUGCCUGAAAUAGUACUUCCUAUAUAUAAUUCUUUACCUCCGGACCAUUCCGGAACUCCUCGUGACGUCCGGGAUCUCAUCCGGGACUCCGAACAACAUUCGGGUUACUACAUAUACAUAUCCCUACAACCCUAGCAUCACCGAACCUUAAGUGUGUAGACCCUACGGGUUCGGGAGACAUGUAGACAUGACCGAGAUCGCUCUCCGGUCAAUAACCAACAGCGGGAUCUGGAUACCCAUGUUGGCUCCCACAUGCUCCUCGAUGAUCUCAUCGGAUGAACCACGAUGUCGAGGAUUCAAUCAAUCCCGUAUACAAUUCCCUUUGUAAAUCGGUAUGCUACUUGCCCGAGAUUCGAUCGUCGCUAUCCCAAUACCUCGUUCAAUCUCGUUACCGGCAAGUCACUUUACUCGUACCGUAACGCAUGAUCCCAUGACCAGACACUUGGUCACUUUGAGCUCAUUAUGAUGAUGCAUUACCGAGUGGGCCCAGUGAUACCUCUCCGUCAUACGGAGUGACAAAUCCCAGUCUUGAUCCGUGUCAACCCAACAGACACUUUCGGAGAUACCCGUAGUAUACCUUUAUAGUCACCCAGUUAUGUUGUGACGUUUGGUACACCCAAAGCACUCCUACGGUAUCCGGGAGUUACACGAUCUCAUGGUCUAAGGAAAGGAUACUUGACAUUGGAAAACUCUAGCAAACGAACUAUACGAUCUUAUGCUAUGUUUAGGAUUGGGUCUUAUCCAUCACAUCAUUCUCCUAAUGAUGUGAUCUCGUUAUCAAUGACAUCCAAUGUCCAUAGUCAGGAAACCAUGACUAUCUGUUGAUCAACGAGCUAGUCAACUAGAGGCUUACUAGGGACAUGUUGGUGUCUAUUAUUCACACAUGUAUUAUGAUUUCCGGAUAACACAAUUAUAGCAUGAAUAAAGACAAUUAUCAUGAACAAGGAAAUAUAAUAAUAAUGCUUUUAUUAUUGCCUCUAGGGCAUAUUUCCAACAAGCUUUGCCACAAAUACAAUGUCAACUACAUGAUCAUGCGAAGCAAUAUGACAAUGAUGGAGCGUGUCAUAGUGAACAAAAUGAUGGUAUGUUGCAUGGCAAUAUAUCUCGGAAUGGCUAUGGAAAUGCCAUGAUAAGUAGGUAUGGUGGCUGUUUUUAGGAAGGUAUAUGGUGGGUGUAUGAUACCGGCGAAAAGUGUGCGGUAUUAGAGAGGCUAGCAAUGGUGGAAGGAGAAAAAGUGCGUAUGAUCCAUGGACUCAACAUUAGUCAUAAAGAACUCAUAUACUUAUUGCAAAAAUCUACAAGUUAUCAAAGAAAAGUAUUACGGGCAUGCUCCUAGGGGGAUAGAUUGGUAGGAAAAGACCAUCGCUCGUCCCCGACCGCCACUCAUAAGGAAGACAAUCAAUAAAUAAAUCAUGCUCCGACUUCAUCACAUAACGGUUCACCAUAUGUGCAUGCUUAAGGGAAUCACAAAAUUUAACACAAGUAUUUCUCAAAUUCAAAACGACUCAACUAGCAUGACUCUAAUAUCACCAUCUUCAUAUCUCAAAACAAUUAUCAAGCAUCAAACUUCUCAUAGUAUUCAACACACUCAUAAGAUUUUUUUUUUACUAAUCUUGAAUGCCUAUUAUUGUUAAAGCAAACAACCAUGCUGUUUUGUAGGACUCUCGAAAUAAUCUAAGUGAAGCAUGAGAGAACAAUAGUUUCUAUAACACAAAUCCACUACCAUGCUCUAAAAGAUAUAAGGGAAGUACUAGAGCAAAAACUAUAUAACUCAAAAGAUAUAAGUGAAGCACAUAGAGUAUUCUAAUAAUUUCCGAAUCAAGUGUGUCUCUCUCAAAAGGUGUGUACAGCAAGGAUGAUUGUGGUGAACUAAACAGCAAAGACUCAAAUAAUACAAGUAGCUCCAAGCAAAACACAUAUCAUGUGGUGAAUAAAAAUAUAGCUCCAAGUAAUGUUACCGAUGAAAGUAGACGAAAGAGGGGAUGCCUUCCGGGGCAUCCCCAAGCUUUGGCUUUUAGGUGUCCUUUGAUUAUCUUGGGGGUUACAUGGGCAUCCCCAAGCUUAGGCUCUUGCACUCCUUGUUCUCUAAUCCAUCAAAUCUUUCACCCAAAACAUGUAAACUUCACAACAUAAAACUCAACAGAAAACCUCGUGAGCUCUGUUAGCGAAAGAAAACAAAAGACCACUUCAAGGUACUGUAAUGAAAUCAUUCUUUAUUUAUAUUGGUGUUAAACCUACUGUAUUCCAACUUCUCUAUGGUUUAUAAACUAUUUUACUAUCCAUAGAUUCAUCAAAACAAGCAAACAACACACGAAAAACAGAAUCUGUCAAAAACAGAAUAGUCUGUAGUAAUCUGUAGCUAACGCAAACUUCUGGAACUCCAAAAAUUCAGACAAAAUAGGACGACCUAGACAAUUUUUUAUUGAUCAGCAGCAAUUGGAAUCAAUAUUUUAUCACCUUCUGGUGAUUUUUAACAAUUAUUUUUGUGAAAGAAUUUACAGCAAGAUCAAGUAACUAUCACCCAAGAAGAUCCUAUAGGUUAAACUUGGCACAAACACUAAUUAAAACAUAAAAACAAAUCUAACCAGAGGCUAGAUCAAAGAUUUAUUCCUAAACAGAAGCAAAAAGCAAAAAACUAAAAAUAAAAUUGGGUUGCCUCCCAACAAGCGCUAUCGUUUAACGCCCCUAGCUAGGCAUAAAAGCAAGGAUAGAUCUAGGUAUUGCCAUCUUUGGUAGGCAAUCCAUAAGUGGCUCUCAUGAUAGAUUCAUAAGGUAAUUUUAUUUUCUUUCAAGGAAAGUGUUCCAUGCCUUUCCUUAACACAAAUUGGAAUCUAAUAUUUCCUUCCUUCAUAUCAAUAAUUGCACCGAUUGUUCUAAGGAAAGGUAUACCAAGAAUAAUAGGACAUGAAGGAUUGCAAUCGAUAUCAAGAACAAUAAAAUCUACGGGCACAUAGUUCCUAUUUGCAACAAUAAGAACAUCAUUAAUUCUUCCCAUAGGUUUCGUAAUGGUGGAAUCCGCAAGGUGCAAGUUUAAAGAGCAAUCAUCAAAAUCACGGAAACCUAACAAAUCGCACAAAGUCUUUGGAAUCGUGGAAACACUAGCACGCAAAUCACACAAAGCAUAGCAUUCAUGAUAUUUAAUUUUAAUUUUAAUAGUAGGUUCCCACUCAUUAUAAAGUUUUCUAGGGAUAGAAACUUCCAACUCAAGUUUUUCUUCAUAAGAUUGCAUCAAAGCAUCAAUGAUAUGUUUGGUAAAGGCAUUAUUUUGACUAUAAUCAUGAGGAGAAUUUAGCACGGAUUGCAACAAGUAAAUACAAUCUAUCAAAGAGCAAUUAUCAUAAUUAAAUUCCUUGAAAUCCAAAAUAGUGGGUUCAUUAAUAUCUAAUGUUUUGAUCUCUUCAAUCCCACUUUUAUCAAUUUUAGCAUCAAGAUCGAAGAACUCUGAAUUUCUGGAACGCCUUCUAGGUAAAGGUGGAUCAUAUUCAGUCCCAUCAUUAUCAAGAUUCAUAUUGCAAAACAAAGAUUUAAUAGGGGACACAUCAAUAACCUUUAGAUCUUCAUCUUUAUUUUCAUAGAAACUAGAAGGACACGCUUUCACAAAACAAUCUUUCUAAGCACGCAUCCUAGCGGUCCUUUCUUUGCACUCAUUAAUGGAAAUUCUCAUGGCUUUGAGAGACUCAUUGAUAUCAUGCUUAGGUGGAAUAGAUCUAAGUUUCAAAGAAUCAACAUCAAGAGAAAUUCUAUCAACGUUCCUAGCCAAUUCAUCAACUUUAAGCAAUUUUUCUUCAAGCAAAGCAUUGAAAUUCUUUUGUGAAUUCAUAAAUUCUUUAACACUAGUCUCAAAUUCAGAAGGCAUCUUAUUAAAAUUUCCAUAAGAAUUGUUGUAGGAAUUACCAUAAUUAUUAGAGGAAUUACUAGGAUACGGCCUAGGAUUAAAGUUUCUUUUAUACGCGUUGUUACCAAAAUUAUUCCUACCAACAAAAUUCACAUCCAUAGAUUCAUUAUUAUUCUCAAUCAAAGUAGACAAAGGCAUAUCAUUAGGAUCAGAAGAAACACUCGUAGUAGCAAAUAAUUUCAUACGUUCAUCCAUCUUUCCACUCAAAACAUUAAUUUCUUCUAUCGCAUGCCCUUUUUUAUUAGUAGAUCUUUCAGUGUGCCAUUGAGAAUAAUUAACCAUAAUAUUAUCUAGGAGUUUAGUAGCUUCUCCUAAAGUGAUUUCCAUAAAAGUGCCUCCCGCGGCCGAAUCUAAAAGGUUUCUAGAAGAAAAAUUCAAUCCGGCAUAAAUUUUUUGUAUAAUCAUCCACAAAUUCAAACCAUGCGUAGGGUAAUUACGUAUCAUUAGUUUCAUCCUCUCCCAAGAUUGUGCAACAUGUUCAUGAUCAAGUUGCUUAAAAUUCAUAAUAUUGUUUCUAAGAGAGGUGAUCUUAGCGGAAGGAAAAUAUUUAGAGAUAAAAGCAUCUUUGCACUUAUUCCAAGAAUCAAUACUAUUUUUAGGCAAAUACGAAAAACAAGCUUUACCACGAUCUCUAAGUGAAAAAGGGAAUAGCUUCAAUUUAACAAUAUCAUUAUCCACAUCUUUCUUCUUUUGCAUAUCACACAAAUCAACGAAGCUAUUUAGAUGGGUAGCGGCAUCUUCACUAGGAAGGCCGGCGAAUUGAUCUUUCAUGACAAGAUUCAAUAAAGCAGUAUUGAUUUCACAAGAUUCAGUAUCGGUAAGAGCAGCAAUCGGAGUGCUAAGGAAAUCAUUGUUGUUGGUAUUGGUAAAGUCACACAAUUUGGUAUUAUCUUGAGCCAUUGUGACAAGCAAGCAAUCCAACACACGAGCAAACAAAAAGCAAGCAAAAAGGAGGAGAACAGAAAAGAGGGGGCGAAUAAAACGGCAAGGGUGAAGUGGGGGAGAGGAAAACGAGAGGCAAAUGGAAAAUAAUGUAAUGCGGGAGAUAAGGGUUUGUGAUGGGUACUUGGUAUGUUUACUUUUGCGUAGACUCCCCGGCAACGGCGCCAGAAAUCCUUCUUGCUACCUCUUGAGCACCGCGUUGAUUUUCCCUUGAAGAGGGAAGGGUGAUGCAGUAAAGUAGCAUAAGUAUUUCCCUCAGUUUUUGAGAACCAAGGUAUCAAUCCAGUAGGAGGCCACGCACGAGUCCCUUGCACCUACACAAACAAAUAAAUCCUCACAACCAACGCGAUAAGGGGUUGUCAAUCCCUACACGGUCCCUUACGAGAGUUAGAUCUGAUAGAUAUGAUAAGAUAAUAUUUUUGGUAUUUUUAUGAUAAAGAUGCAAAGUAAAAUAGAAGGCAACAAAAAUAACUAAGUGUUGGAAGAUUAAUAUGAUGGAAAAUAGACCCGGGGGCCAUAGGUUUCACUAGUGGCUUCUCUCAAGAGCAUAAGUAUUACGGUGGGUGAACAAAUUACUGUUGAGCAAUUGACAGAAUUGAGCAUAGUUAUGAGAAUAUCUAGGUAUGAUCAUGUAUAUAGGCAUCACGUCCGAGACAAGUAGACCGAGUCCUGCCUGCAUCUACUACUAUUACUCCACACAUCGACCGCUAUCCAACAUGCAUCUAGAGUAUUAAGUUCAUAAGAACAGAGUAACGCUUUAAGCAAGAUGACAUGAUGUAGAGGGAUAAACUCAUGCAAUAUGAUAUAAACCCCAUCUUGUUAUCCUCGAUGGAAACAAUACUAUACGUGCCUUGCUGCCCCUACUGUCACUGGGAAAGGACACCGCAAGAUUGAACCCAAAGCUAAGCACUUCUCCCAUUGCAAGAAAGAUCAAUCUAGUAGGCCAAACCAAACUGAUAAUUCGAUGAGACUUGGAAAGAUAACCAAUCAUACAUAAAAGAAUUCAAAGAAGAUUCAAACAUUGUUCAUAGAUAAACUUGACCGUAAACCCACAAUUCAUCGGUCUCAACAAACACACCGCAAAAGAAGAUUACAUCGAAUAGACCUCCACGAGAGAGGGGGAGAACAUUGUAUUGAGAUCCAAAAAGAGAGAAGAAGCCAUCUAGCUAAUAACUAGGGACCCGAAGGUCUGAGGUAAACUACUCACACAUCAUCGGAGAGGCUAUGGUGUUGAUGUAGAAGCCCUCCGUGAUCAGUGCCCCCUCCGGCGGAGCUCCGGAACAGGCCCCAAGAUGGGAUCUCACGGGUACAGAAGGUUGCGGCGGUGGAAGGAGUUUGGGGGUACGUAGGUAUGUAGGAGGAAGGAGUACAUCGGUGGAGCAACAGGGGGCCCACGAGGGUGGAGGGCGCGCCCCCUACCUCGUGCCCUCCUGGUUGAUGUCUUGACGUAGGGUCCAAGUCCUCUGGAUCACGUUCGUUCCGAAAAUCACGUUCCCAAAGGUUUGAUUCCGUUUGGACUCCGUUUGAUAUUCUUUUUCUGUGAAACUCUGAAAUAGGCAAAAAACAACAAUUCUGGGCUGGGCCUCUGGUUAAUACGUUAGUUCCAAAAAUAAUAUAAAAGUGUAUAAUAAAGCCCAAUAAUGUCCAAAACAGAAUAUAAUAUAGCGUGGAGCAAUAAAAAUUAUAGAUACGUUGGAGACGUAUCAAGCAUCCCCAAGCUUAAUUCUCGCUCAUCCUCGAGUAGGUAAAUGAUAAAAAUAGAAUUUUUGAUGUGGAAUGCUACUUGGCAUAAUUUCAAUGUAAUUCUUCUUAAUUGUGGUUUGACUAUUCAGAUCCGAAAGAUUCAAGACAAAAGUUUAAUAUUGACAUGAAAAAUAAUAAUACUUCAAGCAUACUAACUAAGCAAUUAUGUCUUCUCAAAAUAACAUGGCCAAAGAAAGUUAUCCCUACAAAAUCAUAUAGUCUGGCUAUGCUCUAUCUUCACCACACAAAAUAUUUAAAUCAUGCACAACCCCGAUGACAAGCCAAGCAAUUGUUUCAUACUUUUGAUGUUCUCAAACUUUUUCCAAUCUUCACGCAAUACAUGAGCGUGAGCCAUGGACAUAGCACUAUUUGUGGAAUAGAAUGGUGGUUGUGAAGAAGACAAAAAGGAGAAGAUAGUCUCCCAUUAACUAGGCGUAUCAACGGGCUAUGGAGAUGCCCAUUGAUGUCUACUACACAACCUUCUUCUUGUAGACGUUGUUGGGCCUCCAAGUGCAGAGGUUUGUAGGACAGUAGCAAAUUUCCCUCAAGUGGAUGACCUAAGGUUUAUCAAUCCGUAGGAGGCGUAGGAUGAAGAUGGUCUCUCUCAAGCAACCCUGCAACCAAAUAACAAAGAGUCUCUUGUGUCCCCAACACACCCAAUACAAUGGUAAAUUGUAUAGGUGCACUAGUUCGGCGAAGAGAUGGUGAUACAAGUGCAAUAUGGAUGGUAGAUACAGGUUUUUGUAAUCUGAAAAUAUAAAAACAGCAAGGUAACUAAUGAUAAAAGCGAGCGUAAAUGGUAUUGCAAUGCUAGGAAACAAGGCCUAGGGUUCAUACUUUCACUAGUGCAAGUUCUCUCAACAAUAAUAACAUAAUUGGAUCAUAUAACUAUCCCUCAACAUGCAACAAAGAGUCACUCCAAAGUCACUAAUAACGGAGAACAAACAAAGAGAUUAUUUAGGGUACGAAACAACCUCAAAGUUAUUCUUUCGCAUCGAUCUAUUCAAGAGCCCGUAGUAAAAUAACAUGAAGCUAUUCUUUCCGUUCGAUCUAUCAUAGAGUUCGUACUAGAAUAACACCUUAAUACACAAAUCAACCAAAACCCUAAUGUCACCUAGAUACUCCAAUGUCACCUCAAGUAUCCGUGGGUAUGAUUAUACGAUAUGCAUCACACAAUCUCAUAUUCAUCUAUUCAACCAACACAAAGUGCUUCAAAGAGUGCCCCAAAGUUUCUACCGGAGAGUCAAGACGAAAACGCGUGCCAACCCCUAUGCAUAGGUUCAUGGGCGGAACCCGCAAGUUGAUCACCAAAACAUACAUCAAGUGGAUCACGUGAUAUCCCACUGUCACCACAGAUAAGCACGGCAAGGCAUACAUCAAGUGUUCUCAAAUCCUUAAAGACUCAAUCCGAUAAGAUAACCUCAAAGGGAAAACUCAAUCCAUUACAAGAGAGAGUAGAGGGGGAGAAACAUCAUAAGAUCCAACUAUAAUAGCAAAGCUCGCGAUACAUCAAGAUCAUAUCACCUCAAGAACACGAGAGACAGAUCAAACACAUAGCUACUGGUACAUACCCUCAGCCCCGAGGGUGAACUACUCUCUCCUCAUCAUGGAGAGCACCAGGAUGAUGAACAUGGCCACCGGUGAGGGAUCCCCCCUCCGGCAGGGUGCCGAAACAGGGUCCCGAUUGGUUUUUCGUGGCUCUGGAGGUUUGCGGUGGCGGAACUCCCGAUCUAUUCUGUUCCUCGAUGGUUUUAGGGUAUAUGGAGAUAUAUAGGCGAAAGAAGUCGGUAAGGAGAGCCACGAGGGGCCCACGAGGGUGGAGGGCAUGCCCAGGGGGUGGGCGCACCCCCCUGCCUCAUGCCUCCCUCGUUUCUUUCCUGACGUGCACUCCAAGUCUCCUGUAUUGCUUUCUUUCCAAAAAUAACUUUUCCGAAGGUUUCAUUCCGUUUGGACUCCGUUUGAUAUUCCUUUUCCACGAAACACUGAAACAAGGGAAAAAACAGAAACUGGCACUGGGCUCUGGGUUAAUAGGUUAGUCCCAAAAGUAAUAUAAAAGUGCAUAGUAAAGCCCAAUAAACAUCCAAGAUGGAUAAUAUAAUAGCAUGAAUACUUCAUAAAUUAUAGAUACAUUGGAGACGUAUCACCCAUCAAUAGAUAUCAAUGUGUGUGAGUAGGGAUUGCCAUGCAACGAAUGCACUAGAGCUAUAAGUAUAUGAAAGCUCAACAAAAGAAACAAAGUGGGUGUGCAUCCAACUCGCUUGCUCACAAAGACCUAGGGCAUUUUGAGGAAGCCCAUCAUUGGAAUAUACAAGCCAAGUUCUAUAAUGAAAAAUUCCCACUAGUAUAUGAAAGUGAUAUCAUAGGAGACUCUCUAUCAUGAAGAUAAUGGUGCUACUUUGAAGCACAAGUGUGGUAAAAGGAUAGUAACAUUGUACCUUCUCUCUUUUUCUCUCAAAUAUUUUUUUGGGCCUUUUCUUUUUUUUAUGGCCUCUUUUUUCUUUUUAUUUAUUUAUUUCGUCCGGAGUCUCAUCCCGACUUGUGGGGGUAUCAUAGUCUCCAUCAUACUUUCCUCACUUGGGACAAUGCUCUAAAAAUGAUGAUCAUCACACUUUUAUUUACUUACAACUCAAUACUUAGAACAAAAUAUGACUCGAUGUGAAUGCCUCCGGCGGUGUACCGGGAUAUGCAAUGAAUCAAGAGUGACAUGUAUGAAAGAAUUAUGAACGGUGGCUUUGCCACAAAUACAAUGUCAACUACAUGAUCAUGCGAAGCAAUAUGACAAUGAUGGAGCGUGUCAUAGUAAACGAAACGAUGGUAAGUUGCAUGGCAAUAUAUCUCGGAAUGGCUAUGGAAAUGCCAUGAUAAGUAGGUAUGGUGGCUGUUUUGAGGAAGGUAUAUGGUGGAUGUAUGAUACCGGCGAAAAGUGCGCGGUAUUAGAGAGGCUAACAAUGGUGGAAGGAGAAAAAGUGCGUAUAAUCCAUGGACUCAACAUUAGUCAUAAAGAACUCAUAUACUUAUUGCAAAAAUCUACAAGUUAUUGAAGCAAAGUAGGGGGAUAGAUUGGUAGGAAAAGACCAUCGCUCGUCCCCGACCGCCACUCAUAAGGAAGACAAUCAAUAAAUAAAUCAUGCUCCGACUUCAUCACAUAACGGUUCACCAUAUGUGCAUGCUUAAGAGAAUCACAAACUUUGACACAAGUAUUUCUCAAAUUCAAAACUACUCAACUAGUAUGACUCUAAUAUCACCAUCUUCAUAUCUCAAAAUAAUUAUCAAGCAUCAAACUUAUCAUAGUAUUCAACACACUCAUAAGAAUUUUUUUUACUAAUCUUGAAUGCCUAUUAUUGUUAAAGCAAACUACCAUACUAUUUUGUAGGACUCUCAAAAUAAUCUAAGUGAAGCAUGAGAGAACAAUAGUUUCUAUAAAACAAAUCCACUACCAUGCUCUAAAAGAUAUAAGUGAAGUACUAGAGCAAAAACUAUAUAACUCAAAAGAUAUAAGUGAAGCACAUAGAGUAUUCUAAUAAUUUCCGAAUCAAGUGUGUCUCUCUCAAAAGGUGUGUAUAGCAAGGAUGACUGUGGUGAACUAAAAAGCAAAGACUUAAAUAAUACAUGACGCUCCAAGCAAAACACAUACCAUGUGGUGAAUAAAAAUAUAGCUCCAAGUAAAGUUACCAAUGGAAGUAGACGAAAGAGGGGAUGCCUUCCGGGGCAUCCCCAAGCUUUGGCUUUUAGGUGUCCUUAGAUUAUAUUGGGGGUGCCAUGGGCAUCCCCAAGCUUAGGCUCUUGCCACUCCUUGUUCCAUAAUCCAUCAAAUCUUUCACCCAAAACUUGAAAACUUCACAACACAAAACUCAGCAGAAAAUGUCAUGAGCUCCGUUAGAGAAAGAAACAAAAGACCACUUCAAGGUACUGUAAUGAAAUCAUUCUUUAUUUAUAUUGGUGUUAAACCUACUAUAUUCCAACUUCUCUAUGGUUUAUAAACUAUUUUACUAGCCAUAGAUUCAUCAAAACAAGCAAACAAUACACGAGGUGAUGUAGAAGCCCUCCGUGAUCGAUGCCCCCUCCGGCGGAGCUCCGGAACAGGCCCCAUGAUGGGAUCUCACGGGUACAGAAGGUUGCAGUGGUGGAAUUAUGUUUUUGGCUCCGUAUCUGGUAGUUUGGGGGUACGUAGGUAUAUAUAGGAGGAAGGAGUACGUCGGUGGAGCAACAGGGGGCCCACGAGGGUGGAGGGCACGCCCAGGGGGUAGGCGCGCCCCCUACCUCGUGCCGUCCUGGUUGAUGUCUUGACGUAGGGUCCAAGUCCUCUGGAUCACGUUCGUUCCGAAAAUCACGUUCCCGAAGGUUUCAUUCCGUUUGGACUCCGUCUGAUAUUCUUUUUCUGCGAAAUUCUGAAAUAGGCAAAAAACAUCAAUUCUGGACUAGGCCUCCGGUUAAUAGGUUAGUCCCAAAAAUAAUAUAAAAGUGUAUAAUAAAGCCCAAUAAUGUCCAAAACAGAAUAUAAUAUAGCAUGGAGCAAUAAAAAAUUAUAGAUACAUGGGAGACGUAUCAUGCGUGUUAAAAAACACGCUGGUGCUAAGUAGCAGUAGAGCGCUGAGGUAAACGGCGCUACAGAUACAAUUGUAGCAGUAGCGCGCCUGAACAUAAAAACGCUACUACUAAAAUUCCCAUGGCUUAGCCAAUAAUCUACACAUAGUAGUAGUGAUCUACGUCGAACCGCGCUACCGCUACUUGCUUUGUAGCAGCGCGUUUACGCUGAAAGGCGCUACUGCUAAAGGAAAUAAAAUUAAACGGAGAGAAAAUAGAAAAGUAAAUGAAAAUGAAAGAAAUAGAAAAAGGUGAAAGGAAAAAAAUGUAAGGAAAAAUAAUUGAAAACGGGGAAAAGAGAAAUGAAUAGCAGUAGCACGUAUCGAGGAACGCGCUGUAGCUAGCUUAGCAGUAGCGCACUUCCUGAAACGUGCUACUGCUACUUCUGACUUAAUCGCGCGGUUCGUUCUUCCCCAUAGCCACUUCCCUCAAAUCAAACUCCUCCGCUGUCGCCGCCGUCGUCGCCCGUCGGCCGCCGCGCGCUCUCCCGUCGCUCUCCGCACACCCUCGACGCUGCCCCCGACCCCGGAUUCGAUGCCGCCCCCGACCCCGACCUCGACGCCGCCCACGACCCCGACCUCGACGCCGCCCUCCGCCGCGCGCCCGAGCCCCGACCCUGACCUCAGCGCCGCCUGCCCCUCCCUUGCCGCAGGCACCCAAGGUGAGCACGCCUGCUCCUCCCCCUCCCCUACCUCUGCCUAGGGUUCUUCAAAUUUUAGUUGUAUCAAAUUAGUUAGGGUUCAUCUAUGGGUGGAAACGAAUCGGAUGCGGAUGUUAUCGCAUACGGAUGCGGCUCGGAUGUUUUCUUAGAUGAUGUUUUCUUAGAUGAUGAAUAAACACUAUUGUAAUGCAUAAUAAAACGAGUAAAAUUGACCACUUGUUUCACUUUUAAGUUGGAUAAUUGGAAUAUCCGCUACCACUUUCCACCCCUAGGUUCAUCAAAUUAGAUGGUAAGAACUAGGUACUAAUUAGGUACUAGUUUAUUUUUAUUUAUAGUAAGUUUAUUUUUAGUAAGAACUAGUUGAAUUAAUAAAACUAGUUGAACUUCUCACAUUUGUUGUUAUUUUUUAGUUAAAGCAAUUUUUCCCGCAUCGACGUCGACGAUGCCUAUCCCGCAUCCUCGUCGUCGACUCGGCGGAGGACACCUGCUUGACCAGAUGGGCCAUGUCCGAGACUGGGCUCUGCCGGGCUGGUACUGGGAGGUGCUACCUACCGGGGGCACAACUUGGUGAGGAGCCAGCCCAUCAUUGACCUGAACCUUCUUUGGUGGCGGCCGCGUGGGCCAGUGACGGUGCAGAGCCUUGAGGACCCCGUGGAGGUGGUACGUCACCGUGUCGGUGAGGAGGACGUGCACGUCCAUCGCUACUUGUCUGCGUUAGAGCACAUGUUCUACAAUACCUGGCAGGUUCUCCAGGGAUCUCACUGGAGCUAUGAUCCUGUGAUGGUUCCUUCUCUUUGGAUGUCCACCGCCCACGUCGAUACCCGUCGUGCGCUAGGGUUUUAGUUGUAUUAGUGAUGUUAUAUGUAUGAUACUAUUCGGGAUGUAUUAGUGAUAAUAUUCGAUGAAGUACGGACGCAUGAGAUGAUUUAGUUUUGCUUAUUGAAUGCAUGCUAAUUUGAAUACUUAUUUAUUUUACGAUUUGGUUUUUCUUAUUGAAUGCUCAUGUCAAUAUGAGUCCUAUAAGAUAUUUUGAAAUGUAUAUCUUGUGUUGCUCAAAUAGGAUAUGUGCUUGCCCAAGUGGCCGGUCAUGUUUGCAGCUUACACCUCCGAGUGGCCUAUGUUUUGCUGGAGUGUUGAUUCAUUUCCGUUCCGGCAAAUUUCAGGCACUCGAUAUGUCCUAUUUUAGCAAAGGUCAUGCCGGAUUUUUCCAUGAAUUUUGGCAUGACUUGUGCCAAAAUAUGUAGGAAAUAUUGAGUGCCCCGGAUUUGUGUGUUGAGUAUCCUGGUAGUUUCCUUCGAUCGAUUUUCAAUUAAUGUUUCAACUAUGAACAUAGGAAAUGUCUGACGACGAAAAGGAUUUUGGUAUUUGCGAAUAGUGCAAGGACGAGCGCGGCCUGUGCGAUAGAAUCUUCCUAGAUGAUGAUAGGCGCUUCAGCAUCAAGCUGGACGAGAACUUCGAAGUUGAUACAGUAAGUCACAACGACAAGUCUUUUUUCGUAAUUAAGCAUGACAUCUGCUUCAUUUACUUAACUUAUAAUUUAAAUUUUUACUAUUCUAUUAGUGUAUCCCCUGCCAUACAAGAGUUUUUGUCUUGGAUAAGAUAGGUUUCAGUCCUAUAAAAACUACUAUGGAGGUAAAGAGAGUUUACUUGAAGAGUGAGCAUGGUUAUACUUUCCAUGCAAAAUUAUACAGCGCAGACACCUACACCUAUUUUGAAUGCAAAACUUGGCAAGCACUAUGCAAAACUUAUGCAUUUGAGCCUGAUAUGGUUAUCACCUUUGAUAUUCGUCCGGAAGAUAAUACUGAAGGUAAUAUUAACAUAUGGGUCAAUGUGCAGACGCCUCCAGUUAUACCAUUAUGUGAGUUUCUCAACCAUAUUUAUGUCUUCGAUAUUGUUUAUUCAAAAAUAGUUGAUAACUAAUUUCUAUGGACAGCUUAUUUCCAUUCAAGCAAACAUGUUCGGCGCUUGGUAGACAUGACCGUCCACUGUCCCGGGGCUGAACUAAACUGUGAGGAGAUAGGUCAUUAUGUUUCAUGGCUUGAGGAUCUUCAUACUGUCAAGACAAAUUAUUUUCCUGGACUUAAAAAUCUUAGUACUCAAAACAUGCGACCAAUAGUGUUCGUCUUGAACUACGGUCACAUCUAUUUAGGAAAGAUGGUAAAAUGUUUACUAUUUGUCCUCGGUACAUCUUUUGCAUACAUUAUUUUUUAAGCUAAACUUCAUUGCUAAGUAUGUUAAUAUACCAUAUUCUUCAAUAGAGACUCCCGAUGAAUGUUGUGCCUCAUUGGAUCGAGACUAAAGGUCGCAUGAGAAUGGUUAGCUUACGGCCAAGAUACCCUACAAUGCACUUUAGUGCAUUCAGGAUUUCUAAAAGCGAGGAAUGCUUAAUAGUGAAAGACUGGAGAAAAAUUGUGAACGCUCGCGGAGAAGUACUAGGGGGCAGCAAUCAGAAGUGCAUCCCACUAUUAGGAGACAUGUUCAUCUGCGUGCUCCAACAUGAUGAAGCAGGAGUGCUACACAUGUUUUAUGCUAUUUUACCUGAUAGAGAGUAGCAGGAGUGAUUGGCUAGCUAGAAAUGAGUUAUGAUGAUUAAAUAGCUAGUGUUGGGACUAUGAUGAUUAUUAUUAGCUAGUAUUGGUGGUGAUUAGAUAGCUACCGCAGCUAGUGUUGGUGGUGAUUAGCUAGCUAGAAUGAGUUUGAAGAUGAUGAUGUGUGCUACACUAUGAGUGUGAUGAUUAAAUUGCUACUAUUGGUGGUAAUGACUAUGAUGAUGAUUAAAUAGCUUGUGUUGGCGGAUUAGAUUCAAGUGGAGGCAACGUGUGGUGCACAUCGAAAGUACAAAUAGUCCAAACUAGAUCAAGUUUGGAUUAGUAGUAUACUUUUGACAUGCACCACAUGUUGCCUCCACUUGAACCUAAUCCACCUUCAUUUGACACACUGUUAUGGACAUAUUGAUAUAGCAACCUCAUAAUUGGUAUUGUACCAAAAUUUGUAUAACGGCGUAUAAAUACUGAUGACGGGAAAAUAGCGGGCGUGAGAAUACGCGUCCACGUCAUUGAUACAGAAUGAAUAUAUUUAAAUGCGUAAAUGCAUACAAUAAAAAGGAGAUCAAACAUUGCAGGUACAUUAUUUCCAAAACUCUUACAUUUACAUAAAAGAUCUGUUAAUUACAUCUCCGAAGAGAAAACCCCUGAUUAAGAAUUCCAACAUAGCUAUUACAUAAUAUUGCAACACAUUCCUAUUACAACAUGCUACAAAAAAAAAAGAAAUUCCUCCUCGCGAUCGUCGACACCGGCAUGCUCGGGGGAGCCUUGGACUUUGUUGAUAUUAUCAUAUGUGAUGACUUUCAUUCAUAUUUGCUUUCAUUUGACUCGUACUGGUGUUGACAGUACGUGUGUGCAUGCUUGAAUUGAACGAAAUAUGCCCUAGAGGCAAUAAUAAAGUUAUUAUUUAUUUCCUUAUAUCAUGAUAAAUGUUUAUUAUUCAUGCUAGAAUUGUAUUAACCGGAAACAUAAUACAUGUGUGAAUACAUAGACAAACUUAGUGUCACUAGUAUGCCUCUACUUGACUAGCUCGUUUAUCAAAGAUGGUUAUGUUUCCUAACCAUGAACAAAGUGUUGUUAUUUGAUUAACGAGGUCACAUCAUUAGUUGAAUGAUCUGAUUGACAUGACCCAUUCCAUUAGCUUAGCACCCGAUCGUUUAGUAUGUUGCUAUUGCUUUCUUCAUGACAUAUACAUGUUCCUAUGACUAUGAGAUUAUGCAACUCCCGUUUGCCGGAGGAACACUUUGGGUGCUACCAAACGUCACAACAUAACUGGGUGAUUAUAAAGGAGCAUUACAGGUGUCUCCAAAGGUAGAUGUUGGGUUGGCGUAUUUCAAGAUUAGGAUUUGUCACUCCGAUUGUCGGAGAGGUAUCUCUGGGCCCUCUCGGUAAUGCACAUCACAUAAGCCUUGCAAGCAUUAAAACUAAUAUGUUAGUUGUGAGAUGAUGUAUUACGGAACGAGUAAAGAGACUUGCCGGUAACGAGAUUGAACUAGGUAUUGGAUACCGACGAUCGAAUCUCGGGCAAGUAACAUACCGAUGACAAAGGGAACAACGUAUGUUGUUAUGCGGUCUGACCGAUAAAGAUCUUCGUAGAAUAUGUAGGAGCCAAUAUGGGCAUCCAGGUCCCGCUAUUGGUUAUUGACCGGAAACGUGUCUCGGUCAUGUCUACAUUGUUCUCGAACCCGUAGGGUCCGCACGCUUAAGGUUACGAUGACAGUUAUAUUAUGAGUUUAUGCAUUUUGAUGUACCGAAGGUUGUUCGGAGUCCCGGAUGUGAUCACGGACAUGACGAGGAGUCUCAAAAUGGUCGAGACAUAAAGAUUGAUAUAUUGGAAGCCUAUGUUUGGAUAUCGGAAGUGUUCCGGGUGAAAUCGGGAUUUUACCGGAGUACCGGGAGGUUACCGGAACCCCCCGGGAACCAUAUGGGCCUUAAUGGGCUUUAGUGGAAAGGAGAAAGGGGCAGCCCAAGGUGGCCGCGCGCCUCCCCCCCUGCCCUAGUCCUAUUAGGACUAGGAGAGGUGGCCGGCCCCCCUCUCCCUCUUUCCCCCUCGGGGAAUCCUUGUCCAACUAGGAUUGGGCGGGGAGUCCUACUCCCGGGAGGAGUAGGACUCCUCCUGCGCCCUCCUCCUGGCCAGCGGCCCCCUCCCCCUUGGCUCCUUUAUAUACUAAGGCAGAGGCACCCCAGAAACACACAAGUUGAUCCACGUGAUCUAUUCCUUAGCCGUGUGCCGUGCCCCCAGCCACCAUAUUCCUCGAUAAUACUGUAGCGGAGUUUAGGCGAAGCCCUGCUGCUGUAGUGCAUCAAGAUCGUCACCACGUCGUCGUGCUGACGGAACUCUUCCCCGACACUUUGCUGGAUCGGAGUCCGGGGAUCGUCAUCGAGCUGAACGUGUGCUCGAACUCGGAGGUGCCGUAGUUUCAGUGCUUGAUCGGUUGGAUCGUGAAGACGUACGACUACUUCCUCUAUGUUGUGUCAGCGCUUCCGCAGUCGGUAUGCGUGGGUACGUAGACAACACUCUCCCCUCUCGUUGCUAUGGAUCACAUGAUCUUGCGUGUGCGUAGGAAAAUUUUGAAAUUACUACGAAACCCAACAGUGGCAUCCGAGCCUAGGUUAUUUAUGUUGAUGUUAUAUGCACGAGUAGAACACAAGUGAGUUGUGGGCGAUAUAAGUCAUACUGCCUACCAGCAUGCCAUACUUUGCUUCGGCAGCAUUGUUGGACGAGACGACCCGGACCAACAUUACGCGUACGCUUACGCGAGACCGGUUCCCCCGACGUGCUUUGCACAUAGGUGGCUUGCGGGCGACUGUCUCUCCAACUUUAGUUGAACCGAGUGUGGCUACGCCCGGUCCUUGCGAAGGUUAAAACGGAGUCUAUUUGACAAACUAUCAUUGUGGUUUUGAUGCGUAGGUGAGAUAGGUUCUUGCUUAAGCCCGUAGCAGCCACGUAAAACUUGCAACAACAAAGUAGAGGACGUCUAACUUGUUUUUGCAGGGCAUGUUGUGAUGUGAUAUGGUCAAGGCAUGAUGCUGAAUUUUAUUGUAUGAGAUGAUCAUGUUUUGUAACCGAGUUAUCGGCAACUGGCAGGAGCCAUAUGGUUGUCGCUUUAUUGUAUGCAAUGCAAUCGCGAUGUAAUGCUUUACUUUAUUACUAAGCGGUAGUGAUAGUCGUGGAAGCAUAAGAUUGGCGAGACGACAACGAUGCUACGAUGGAGAUCAAGGUGUCGCGCCGGUGACGAUGGUGAUCAUGACGGUGCUUCGGAGAUGGAGAUCACAGGCACAAGAUGAUGAUGGCCAUAUCAUAUCACUUAUAUUGAUUGCAUGUGAUGUUUAUCUUUUAUGCAUCUUAUCUUGCUUUGAUUGACGGUAGCAUUAUAAGAUGAUCUCUCACUAAAUUAUCAAGAAGUGUUCUCCCUGAGUAUGCACCGUUGCCAAAGUUCAUCGUGCCCAGACACCACGUGAUGAUCGGGUGUGAUAAGCUCUACGUUCAAAUACAACGGGUGCAAAACAGUUGCACACGCGGAAUACUCAGGUUAUACUUGACGAGCCAAGCAUAUACAGAUAUGGCCUCGGAACACGGAGACCGAAAGGUCGAGCGUGAAUCAUAUAGUAGAUAUGAUCAACAUAACGAUGUUCACCGAUGAAACUACUCCGUCUCACGUGAUGAUCGGACAUGGUUUAGUUGAUUUGGAUCACGUGAUCACUUAGAGGAUUAGAGGGGUGUCGAUCUAAGUGGGAGUUCUUAAGUAAUAUGAUUAAUUGAACUUAAAUUUAUCAUGAACUUAGUACCUGAUAGUAUCUUGCUUGUUUAUGUUGAUUGUAGAUAGAUGGCUCGUGCUGUUGUUCCGUUGAAUUUUAAUGCGUUCCUUGAGAAAGCAAAGUUGAAAGAUGAUGGUAGCAAUUACACGGACUGGGUCCGUAACUUGAGGAUUAUCCUCAUUGCUGCUCAGAAGAAUUACGUCCUGGAAGCAUCGCUGGGUGUCAGGCCUGCUGCUGGAGCAACACCAGAUGUUAUGAACGUCUAGCAGAGCAAAGCUGAUGACUACUCGAUAGUUCAGUGUGCCAUGCUUUACGGCUUAGAAUUGGGACUUCAACGACGUUUUGAACGUCAUGGAGCAUAUGAGAUGUUCCAGGAGUUGAAGUUAAUAUUUCAAGCAAAUGCCCGGAUUGAGAGAUAUGAAGUCUCCAAUAAGUUCUAUAGCUGCAAGAUGGAGGAGAACAGUUCUGUCAGUGAGCAUAUACUCAAAAUGUCUGGGUAUAAUAAUCACUUGAUUCAAUUGGGAGUUAAUCUUCCGGAUGAUUGCGUCAUUGACAGAAUUCUCCAAUCACUGCCACCAAGCUACAAGAGCUUCGUGAUGAACUAUAAUAUGCAAGGGAUGAACAAGACUAUUCCCGAGCUCUUCACAAUGCUGAAAGCGGCGGAGGUAGAAAUCAAGAAGGAGCAUCAAGUGUUGAUGGUUAACAAAACCACUAGUUUCAAGAAAAAGGGCAAAGGGAAGAAGAAGGGGAACUUCAAGAAGAACAGCAAGCAAGUUGCUGCUCAGGAGAAGAAACCCAAGUCUGGACCUAAGCCUGAAACUGAGUGCUUCUACUGCAAGCAGACUGGUCACUGGAAGCGGAACUGCCCCAAGUAUUUGGCGGAUAAGAAGGAUGGCAAGGUGAACAAAGGUAUAUGUGAUAUACAUGUUAUUGAUGUGUACCUUACUAGAGCUCGCAGUAGAACCUGGGUAUUUGAUACUGGUUCUGUUGCUAAUAUUUGCAACUCGAAACAGGGACUACAGAAUAAGCGGGCACUGGCAAAGGACGAGGUGACGAUGCGCGUGGGAAACGGUUCCAAAGUCGAUGUGAUCGCGGUCGGCACGCUACCUCUACAUCUACCUUCGGGAUUAAUAUUAGACCUAAAUAAUUGUUAUUUGGUGCCAGCGUUGAGCAUGAACAUUAUAUCUGGAUCUUGUUUGAUGCGAGACGGUUAUUCAUUUAAAUCAGAGAAUAAUGGUUGUUCUAUUUAUAUGAGUAAUAUCUUUUAUGGUCAUGCACCCUUGAAGAGUGGUCUAUUCUUAUUGAAUCUCGAUUGUAGUAAUACACAUAUUCAUAAUGUUGAAGCCAAAAGAUGCAGAGUUGAUAAUGAUAGUGCAACUUAUUUGUGGCACUGCCGUUUAGGUCAUAUCGGUGUAAAGCGCAUAAAGAAACUCCAUACUGAUGGACUUUUGGAACCACUUGAUUAUGAAUCACUUGGUACUUGCGAACCGUGCCUCAUGGGCAAGAUGACCAAAACACCGUUCUCCGAUACUAUGGAGAGAGCAACAGAUUUGUUGGAAAUCAUACAUACAGAUGUAUGUGGUCCAAUGAAUAUUGAGGCUCGUGGUGUAUAUCGUUAUUUUCUCACCUUCACAGAUGAUUUAAGCAGAUAUGGGUAUAUCUACUUAAUGAAACAUAAGUCUGAAACAUUUGAAAAGUUCAAGGAAUUUCAGAGUGAAGUUGAAAAUCAUUGUAACAAGAAAAUAAAGUUUCUACGAUCUAAUCGUGGAGGAGAAUAUUUGAGUUACGAGUUUGGUGUACAUUUGAAAAAUUGUGGAAUAGUUUCGCAACUCACGCCACCCGGAACACCACAGCGUAAUGGUGUGUCCGAACGUCGUAAUCGUACUUUACUAGAUAUGGUGCGAUCUAUGAUGUCUCUUACUGAUUUACCGCUAUCGUUUUGGGGAUACGCUCUAGAGACGGCCGCAUUCACGUUAAAUAGGGCACCAUCAAAAUCCGUUGAGACGACACCUUAUGAACUGUGGUUUGGCAAGAAACCAAAGUUGUCGAUUCUAAAAGUUUGAGGCUGCGAUGCUUAUGUGAAAAAGCUUCAACCUGAUAAGCUCGAACCCAAAUCGGAGAAAUGUGUCUUCAUAGGAUAUCCAAAGGAAACUAUUGGAUACACCUUCUAUCACAGAUCCGAAGGCAAGACUUUUGUUGCUAAAUUCGGAAACUUUCUAGAGAAGGAGUUUCUCUCGAAAGAAGUGAGUGGGAGGAAAGUAGAGCUUGACGAGGUAACUAUACCUGCUCCCUUAUUGGAAAGUAGUACAUCACAGAAAACUGUUCCUGUGACACCUACACCAGUUAGUGAGGAAGUUAAUGAUAAUGAUCAUGAAACUUCAGAACAAGAUACUACUGAACCUCGUAGAUCAACCAGAGUAAGAUCCGCGCCAGAGUGGUACGGUAAUCCUGUUCUGGAAGUCAUGCUACUAGAUCAUGAUGAACCUACGAACUAUGAAGAAGCGAUGGUGAGCCCAGAUUCCGCAAAGUAACUUGAAGCCAUGAAAUCUGAGAUGGGAUUCAUGUAUGAGAACAAAGUAUGGACUUUGGUUGACUUGCCCGAUGAUCGGCAAGCAAUUGAGAACAAAUGGAUCUUUAAGAAGAAGACUGACGCUGAUGGUAAUGUUACUGUCUACAAAGGUCGACUUGUCGCGAAAGGUUUUCGGCAAGUUCAAGAGAUUGACUACGAUGAGACCUUCUCACCCGUAGCGAUGCUUAAGUCUGUCCGAAUCAUGUUAGCGAUUGCUGCAUUUAUGAUUAUGAAAUCUGGCAGAUGGAUGUCAAAACUGCAUUCCUGAAUGGAUUUCUGGAAGAAGAGUUGUAUAUGAUGCAACCGGAAGGUUUUGUCGAUCCAAAGGGAGCUAACAAAGUGUGCAAGCUCCAGCGAUCCAUUUAUGGACUGGUGCAAGCCUCUCGGAGUUGGAAUAAACGCUUUGAUAGUGUGAUCAAAGCAUUUGGUUUUAUACAGACUUUCAGAGAAGCCUGUAUUUACAAGAAAGUGAGUGGGAGCUCUGUAGCAUUUCUAAUAUUAUAUGUGGAUGACAUAUUACUAAUUGGAAAUGAUAUAGAAUUUCUGGAUAGCAUAAAGGGAUACUUGAAUAAGAGUUUUUCAAUGAAAGACCUCGGUGAAGCUGCUUACAUAUUAGGCAUAAAGAUCUAUAGAGAUAGAUCAAAACGCUUAAUUGGACUUUCACAAACAACAUACCUUGACAAAAUUUUGAAGAAGUUCAAAAUGGAUCAAGCAAAGAAAGGAUUCUUGCCUGUAUUACAAGGUGUGAAAUUGAGUAAGACUCAAUGCCCGACCACUGCAGAAGAUAGAGAGAAUAUGAAAGAUGUUCCCUAUGCAUCAGCCAUAGGAUCUAUCAUGUAUGCAAUGCUGUGUACCAGACCCGAUGUGUGCCUUGCUAUAAGUCUAGCAGGGAGGUACCAAAGUAAUCCGGGAGUGGAUCACUGGACAGCGGUCAAGAACAUCCUGAAAUACCUGAAAAGGACUAAGGAUAUGUUUCUCAUAUAUGGAGGUGACAAAGAGCUCAUCGUAAAAGGUUACGUUGAUGCAAGCUUUGACACUGAUCCGGACGAUUCUAAAUCGCAAACCGGAUACGUGUUUACAUUGAAUGGUGGAGCUGUCAGUUGGUGCAGUUCUAAACAAAGCGUCGUAGGGGGAUCUACAUGUGAAGCGGAGUACAUAGCUGCUUCGGAAGCAGCGAACGAAGGAGUCUGGAUGAAGGAGUUCAUAUCCGAUCUAGGUGUCAUACCUAAUGCAUCGGGUCCAAUGAAAAUCUUUUGUGACAACACUGGUGCAAUUGCCUUGGCAAAGGAAUCUAGAUUUCACAAGAGAACCAAGCACAUCAAGAGACGCUUCAAUUCCAUCCGGGAUCUAGUCCAGGUGGGAGACAUAGAGAUUUGCAAGAUACAUACGGAUCUGAAUGUUGCAGACCCGUUGACUAAGCCUCUUCCACAAGCAAAACAUGAUCAGCACCAAGGCUCCAUGGGUGUUAGAAUCAUUACGGUGUAAUCUAGAUUAUUGACUCUAGUGCAAGUGGGAGACUAAAGGAAAUAUGCCCUAGAGGCAAUAAUAAAGUUAUUAUUUAUUUCCUUAUAUCAUGAUAAAUGUUUAUUAUUCAUGCUAGAAUUGUAUUAACCGGAAACAUAAUACAUGUGUGAAUACAUAGACAAACUUAGUGUCACUAGUAUGCCUCUACUUGACUAGCUCAUUAAUCAAAGAUGGUUAUGUUUCCUAACCAUGAACAAAGUGUUGUUAUUUGAUUAACGAGGUCACUUCAUUAGUUGAAUGAUCUGAUUGACAUGACCCAUUCCAUUAGCUUAGCACCCGAUCGUUUAGUAUGUUCCUAUUGCUUUCUUCAUGACAUAUACAUGUUCCUAUGACUAUGAGAUUAUGCAACUCCCAUUUGCUGGAGGAACACUUUGGGUGCUACCAAACGUCACAACGUAACUGGGUGAUUAUAAAGGAGCAUUACAGGUGUCUCCAAAGGUAGAUGUUGGGUUGGCAUAUUUCGAGAUUAGGAUUUGUCACUCCGAUUGUCGGAGAGGUAUCUCUGGGCCCUCUCGGUAAUGCACAUCACAUAAGCCUUGCAAGCAUUACAACUAAUAUGUUAGUUGUGAGAUGAUGUAUUACGGAACGAGUAAAGAGACUUGCCAGUAACGAGAUUGAACUAGGUAUUGGAUACCGACGAUCGAAUCUCGGGCAAGUAACAUACCGAUGACAAAGGGAACAACGUAUGUUGUUAUGCGGUCUGACCGAUAAAGAUCUUCGUAGAAUAUGUAGGAACCAAUAUGGGCAUCCAGGUCCCGCUAUUGGUUAUUGACCGGAAACAUGUCUCGGUCAUGUCUACAUUGUUCUCGAACCCGUAGGGUCCGCACGCUUAAGGUUACGAUGACGGUUAUAUUAUGAGUUUAUGCAUUUUGAUGUACCGAAGGUUGUUUGGAGUCCCGGAUGUGAUCACGGACAUGACGAGGAGUCUCGAAAUGGUCGAGACGUAAAGAUUGAUAUAUUGGAAGCCUAUGUUUGGAUAUCGGAAGUGUUCCGGGUGAAAUCGGGAUUUUACCGGAGUACCGGGAGGUUACCGGAACCCCCCGGGAACCAUAUGGGCCUUAAUGGGCUUUAGUGGAAAGGAGAAAGGGGCAGCCCAAGGUGGCCGCGCGCCUGCCCCCCCUCCCUAAGUCCUAUUAGGACUAGGAGAGGUGGUCGGCCCCCCUUUCCCUCUUUCCCCCUCGGGGAAUCCUAGUCCAACUAGGAUUGGGGGGAGUCCUACUCCCGGGAGGAGUAGGACUCCUCCUGGCCGGCGGCCCCCUUCCCCUUGGCUCCUUUAUAUACUGAGCCAGAGGCACCCCAGAAACACACAAGUUGAUCCACGUGAUCUAUUCCUUAGCCGUGUGCGGUACCCCCAGCCACCAUAUUCCUCGAUAAUACUGUAGCGGAGUUUAGGCGAAGCCCUCCUGCUGUAGUGCAUCAAGAUCGUCACCACGCCAUCGUGCUGACGGAACUCUUCCCUGACACUUUGCUGGAUCGGAGUCCGGGGGUCGUCAUCGAGCUGAACGUGUGCUGGAACUCGAAGGUGCCGUAGUUUCGGUGCUUGAUCGGUUGGAUCGUGAAGACGUACGACUACUUUCUCUACGUCGUGUCAGCGCUUCCGCAGUCGGUCUGCGUGGGUACGUAGACAACACUCUCCCCUCUCGUUUCUAUGCAUCACAUGAUCUUGUGUGUGCGUAGGAAAAUUUUGAAAUUACUACGAAACCCAACAUGAAUGACUUCACUUACUUUUCCUUGUUGAUUAACCAAUAUAUAGACUUUGAUUUAUUUUCUUUACUUUGUAUGAGAAAGUCAUCUUAAUGGUUAACCAAUCUGUUAAAUGAGUCUUCAAACAUCAUGAUGCAUGCGUAUGGGACAUACAGUCAUGCACGUGUUCUGUGCAAUGCAACUACUUUAGUACUAACAAUUGUAGUACUCUUUGUUUUAUGAGUAGAUGGCAUCUACGUUUUCUUAAUAUUUGCAAGCCGUACGGGGGAUGCAUGAUCUAACUUUCAUCUUAUGCGAAGAUAAGCUAGAUGUGACCUUUUUGAGCAUAUAUGGAGCAGAUAAAAGAUAUUUAAUUUGUUUUGGUGGCAUAUGCAAGUGCACUACAAUAUUUCGAGUGAGGUCAAACUCAGAUUAUGACUCUGGUCAUCUUUUAGUUUUUGUUUAAUGUAUGUCCAUAUGAAGGGACCAUACAAUUUAUUUUGGUUGGGUGGAUGUACACCAAUUCACCUAGAAUUAGCUAGGUAGGACGUGUCCAUUUUACUUUGCAUGCGCCUACACUAGAUUCGCCAAUAUCUAGUUAUUUAUCGAUGAUGACAGCUAGCAUUAUUUAGGGCCAGCACAUUUUUAUAAAGUGCACCCAUUUAGUCUAUUUUAGAGACAUUUGGUUAAUAUAAUAGCAUUUAUGAUUUGGGCGGCAUUUUGUUUAUGCACCAUGAAGUGGGAUGUCAAUUUUCUACGCACCCAACUUUGAACAUGGUUAAUUAAGUUUUGCUACAUGACUCAAUUUUAGCAUAUCAUGCACACAUGUGAUCAUCGAACAUGCGACUAAGUAUGGUGUCUUUUGACGAGCACCUAUUGUUUUGCAAUAUUUUUUAUAUGCAUCUUAUAGUAUAUAGUUUGUUCCUCAUUUUUUUAUGUUGAUUUUUCCCGAGUCAUACCUUUGCCGUGAUUUUGUUGAGAACAAAGCCUUCACUCUACAUAAGGGAAGAAAUACCUUGAUUUGUGUCAAUAUGACCAAACCAGAGGAACUCAUCAUGCAACUUGUAUUUCUUGACAUGUGUCAACAUGACCAUGGCAAGAAAAAACUAUCAAAUUUGUGAGAAUACCUCUUGACAUGUGUCAAUAUGACUGUGCCAAGAGUAAGAUAUUAAACUUGUGAGAAUACUACUUGACAUGUGUCAACAUAACCAUGCCAAGAGUGAGCUCUCGAAUAUAGUGAAAAUACUAGACAUGUGUCAAUAUGACCAUGCCAAGAGUAGAAUGCCAAAUUUGUGGAGGAUGAAGGCCACUUGGGAUGUGUCAAUAUGACCAAGCCAAGAGCAAGAAUCAUGUCACUUGGAGAAAAAAAAAUCAAGAUCUGUGUCAAUAUGACCAAAUCAAGAACCAUCAUAUGGAGGAAAAAGCAAGGAUCAUGCUAAUUGAAGAAAAGUCCUAGAUCUGUGUCAAUAUGACCAGAUCAAGAACCAUUAUAUGAGGAAAAAAGCUACUUGACUCAUGUCAAUAUGACCAAGCCAAGAGCAAAAUUUGGGCAACAUGGAAAAGAAUUCAUGAUCUGUGUCAAUGUGACCAAAUCAAGAAUCAUCAUAUGGGGAGAAGCUACUUGGCUCAUGUCAAUAUGACCAAACCAAUAGCAAAGAUUGAGCAAGCAUAGGGAAGAUCACCAAUCAGAGAAGCAAAGGGAUUAGGAGAGAACAAUGAAUCUCACCUUCUUGCUAAACUCCUCCAAAUCUCCCUCUCCUCACGUAUGUGUGUGUGGAAUUUUUUUGUAGCAGUAUAUGUGUGUAGCAGCAGCAGAACAAGAGAGAAUAAGCAGUCCAAUCUAGGGGAAAAGGGACCAGCCUUGUACGCCCAGGAACGCCUAUAUUUAUAGGCGUGGGGAGAGCAGCGAAGGCUCUCUGGCGCGCGCCCACCUUCUCUGAUCGUGGCAUGCAUUCGUGUAAUCGUGGGAGUGCAUGGGUCGUGGGAGUCCCUGCAUGUUUCUUUUCUUAUAUUUCCUUUCUUUAAUUAAUUGCUCUUUGACCAAGCUUUGAACCGGCCACUAGUCUAAUUAGCCCAUCUAGUUUUUUUAUUAACGUGUGGGCUUGGACACUAGCCCAUCAUUUUGCUUGUGGUGAUUAGCUGAUCCAUUGCCACCUUGUAAAUUAGUCUCACCCACUAUGCAUGCAUGUACGUAGACAUUUGUAUGAAUGAGCUGAUAAUGACUAAUUAAAAUGGUUUUUUUGGAAAAUUCAUUCCAAUUUCUUUGUCGUGCCAUAAAAAAAGAUAUAUGCAAAUAUUCUUUCAUGGACAAUUAUAUGAUGGCCUGGCGUUUUCUUCUUAUUUCCUUAGAUAUAUAUACCGACGCAUGUCUUAUUUUAUCCACCGCAUUGAUAUUUCACAUUAUUGACGGAAUAGGCCUCGCAUUUACCCUACGGUCGAUAUUUCGAAAACAUUAUGAUUUUAUGUAGGUAUUUGACACCCGCCGUAGGUGAUGGUGUGCAUGGAUGGAAGUUAUGUGUGAUUUUAGUCAGGACAAAAUUUUCAUGGAGAUCUUUAUUCACUUUGCAAAAUUUCCAGAUAUCAACUCUUUUAUUAAUUUAUUUUGUGUGCCCGCUGUUUUGUACUAAGUGAUGGAAAUUCACCAUGGUCGUUUACACUCAAUGGUGUAUUUUAUCAUUUUCACCAUUUAAAAUAAUUCAUUUGUUUUAAUCACACUAUAUUCCCUUUGACCGAAAUCCGUGCCAACAAAUACACUAAAAAUUAAAAAAAAUGAGAAAAAGAAUACUAGUAGCGAUGGAGAGUAAACACGCUACUACUAGCUAUAUUAGCAGUAGCGCGAGAGUGAACAAAAGAUGCGGCUAUAUGUCUUAGCAGUAGCGCGUGUCGCACGCGCUACUGCUAAGGAAUAGCUGUAGCGCCUUACUAGUAGCACGGUGUCCCGUGCUACUAGUGGGCAAACCCGCGCCACUACUAGGGUUUUCCCUAGUAGUGGAGUGCCAAAAGCUCCAUCUUGGACUAUCAGAAAAAGGGGUCUACCUUGCAUCUUGUAAAGCAUCUCUUCUUAUGGUAUGGGUCUUGACGAAUCGUGUGGCCAAAUGAAUUGGGUCUUGAAGCAUACCUUCCACCCAUACUGGAUUAUGAUCGUCCUGUUCUUGGCCCAUGGGUCUUACAAGAUAUUAACUAUAAGGGGUAUCUCAAAGAGAGAAAGGGGCUCAUUGAAGGUGGCGAAGAUACAGAAUACAUGGAAUAGCUAAAAGAAAACAAAUUAGAGUUAAACUCCAGCAAGGAACAACUAGUGGAAGAAAAGUUUGAAUGGGACUCUGAAAAUGACAACAUACUUCAUAAGGAAGAUGUGGUUGAUGCUCGUGGCAAUGGAUACUUUGAUAUCCUUGGAUUCCAUCCAUAUAAAGAAAUUGUCUUUCUGGGUGUAUCAAUGUACAGAGGAAUUGCCUAUCAUUUGAAAGAUUCGAAGGUUCAGGACCUUGGCUACUUAUACCCAACAACUUGUCAUUUGGCAUUGCAGAAUGUGUGUUUUAUAACCGUGUCAUUCCCAUAUACACCUUCUUUGAUAGGGUACCAGUAAGCAAUUAACAAGAAUGUACAAGGGCAUCUUAGAGACUGGUAUGCUGGUUGGAACCGAAUUGAACAUCACAAUAAAUGGCCUAAUCAUGUUUAAGGUCUUGUUCAUUUUUAUUUAGCACUGGAUUUAUACUUAUCCAAUGAAGUGUCCAUAUUUUCCAUGUCGGUUCUAAGAACAUGUGACGUAAUAGUGUAUCAUCAGAAAAUGGAAAGUAUAUCAAAUAUACUUCAUUGCUUUGUUCAACAACGCCAAUGUGUUUCUUUCUUAUGUAUCAUCUAUAUCGGAAACCAAUAUUUCCCUCAGCAGUAUCAUUUUCCCCUAUUAGUUUUGUUGUUGUUUUCCGGGUCCAGUUGGUGGAUAGUCUCAUCCUUGUCUGUUGUCUGAAUUCUUGUCCUGCUUAUAGUGCGGUACUCUUGUAUGCCUAACCUACUCCAGGAAAAG
rnacentral:lncRNA from 1 species